rnacentral:rRNA from 1 species
UGGGGAAUAUUGGACAAUGGGCGAAAGCCUGAUCCAGCCAUGCCGCGUGUGUGAAGAAGUUCUUCGGAUUGUAAAGCACUUUAAGUUGGGAGGAAGGGCAGUAAGCGAAUACCUUGCUGUUUUGACGUUACCGACAGAAUAAGCACCGGCUAACUCUGUGCCAGCAGCCGCGGUAAUACAGAGGGUGCAAGCGUUAAUCGGAAUUACUGGGCGUAAAGCGCGCGUAGGUGGUUCGUUAAGUUGAAUGUGAAAGCCCCGGGCUCAACCUGGGAAAUGCAUCCAAAACAGGCGAGCUAGAGUAGGGCAGGGGGUGGUGGAAUUUCCUGUGUAGCGGUGAGAUGCGUAGAUAUAGGAAGGAACACCAGUGGCGAAGGCGACCACCUGGACUCAUACUGACACUGAGGUGCGAAAGCGUGGGGAGCAAACAGG